rnacentral:rRNA from 1 species
CAUMKACAUUUYGAACGCACAUUGCGGUCCGUGGAGAAACAUCCAGGACCACUCCUGUCCGAGGGCCG